UUAGUCUUAACCUCAGACUCGUCGUUGAAUACUGGUGCCAAAGAACGAAACUAAGCAAGAAAGGCGAAACGAUUAACGGACACUACCUAACCGUUAAAUACGAGUCUGCCUCUUUUGAAAGACGAACAGAGUGUUUUUAGAGAAAGAAAGGCCAUGACAACAGCUCCAUUGUGUUCGCCAACUCAGAUCAAUGGUUUGGGAGGAGCUCUUAGGCUCCAAAAGACCCAUCUCUAUCUUCCCAGCUCAGUCACUAUUACAAGAGGGAUCUAUCAUGUAGCACGGAAGCUCCGGAGAAAAAUUCAUACUGUAGUGAAGGCAACAGCUCGGGUUGAUAAGUUCUCUAAAAGUGAUAUCAUUGUUUCCCCAUCUAUUCUCUCUGCUAAUUUUGCAAAGCUAGGAGAGCAGGUAAAAGCAGUGGAGGUAGGAGGUUGUGAUUGGAUCCAUGUUGAUGUAAUGGAUGGUCGUUUUGUUCCAAACAUCACCAUUGGACCUCUUGUGGUUGAUGCUUUGCGGCCAGUGACAGAUCUUCCUUUGGAUGUGCAUUUGAUGAUUGUGGAACCAGACCAAAGAGUGCCAGAUUUUAUCAAGGCUGGAGCUGACAUAGUCAGUGUUCACUGUGAGCAAUCCUCCACCAUCCAUUUGCAUCGCACAGUAAAUCAGAUAAAGAGUCUUGGAGCUAAAGCUGGAGUUGUUUUGAACCCUGCUACACCCCUGAGUGCUAUAGACUAUGUCCUUGAUGUGGUUGAUCUAGUCUUGAUUAUGUCUGUGAAUCCGGGUUUUGGUGGGCAAAGCUUUAUUGAGAGUCAAGUAAAGAAAAUCUCAGAUUUGAGAAGAAUAUGUGCGGAGAAGGGAGUAAAUCCAUGGAUUGAAGUAGAUGGUGGAGUUGGUCCCAAAAAUGCAUAUAAGGUUAUUGAGGCUGGGGCUAAUGCUAUUGUUGCGGGUUCAGCUGUAUUUGGUGCUAAAGAUUAUGCUGAAGCUAUAAGAGGAAUCAAAACCAGCAAAAGGCCAGUAGCAGUACCAGCUUGAUUUAUCAUCAGAGGAUCUCAUUUUGUUAAAUGUGUGACAUCUGUAUUCUUCGUUUAUGUAAUUCACAAGGUAGAUAAGCAACUUAUUGCAACCUUCAUGUUGUUGUCGGAUGUGCCAUCACUUCUUGGUUGAUUUCUCUGGGGUUACAGAUGAACUAAUAAGGAAACAAGUCUGCGGCAAGAAUGCCGCUGGGUAUAUGUAUAUCCUUUACAGGGAUUCAAUAAUCCAAGCUCAUGUGAAGCUCUUUGUAACAAUCAAUAGUUCCAUCUGUAUUCAAUCAGGACCAUUUUAAUUUUCUUCA